rnacentral:tRNA from 1 species
GCCGGUGUGGCGGAAUGGUAGACGCAGGGGAUUCAAAAUCCCCCGAUCGCAAGGUCUUGUCGGUUCGAGUCCGACCACCGGUA